rnacentral:lncRNA from 1 species
ACCCUUGAAGUGAGUUCCGCCACAACUUCCUGCAGGUGUUGCACGGAGUCUUUGGUGUCAUCUGACAAUCGGUCGACUAGGGCCUCGACCUUGUCGAUCUUGGACUUCGCUUCCUCUUGCAAGCUCUCUACCCCAACAAGCCUUUGUUGGCCAUGGUAGAGUUCCUCCACGCUCGCUUCAAGAACAUCCAGGCGGGUUUCCGCC